GACUCUCAGCAACAGAUAUCUCAGCUCCCGCAUCGAUGAAGAACGUAGCAAAAUGCGAUACUUGGUGUGAAUUGCAGAAUCCAGUGAACCAUCGAGUCUUUGAACGCAAGUUGCGCCCCAAGUGUUCUGGCCGAGGGCAUGUCUGCCUGGGUGUCA
rnacentral:rRNA from 1 species